UGGCAGGUCAGCAUACUGCCGUGAAUACGUUCCCGGGCCUUGUACACACCGCCCGUCACACCAUGAGAGUUGGGAAUACCCGAAGCCUGUGAGCUAACUUUUAGAGGCAGCAGUCGAAGGUAGAAUCAAUGAUUGGGUGAAGUCGUAACAAGGUAGC
rnacentral:rRNA from 1 species